ensembl:lncRNA
GUAAGACUUAGGAGCAGAGGUUUCUGAAGAGCUCAGUUGCUACUGCAACAGCAGAAGAGCAUGUAUUCUUUCACACAUUUCUAAACAUGUUUAAAUAGGUACUUGUUACUUCUAGCUCCUGUUAGGGGAGAACUGGGUGGCAGACGAGAGGCCAACACAUAGGCAGGGGGGUGUCUCACUACUAAAAACAGAGUGCCUAUCUCCUCUUUGCCAGUACAUAUCACAGAGCACAGCAGAAACUAGAAAACUGGGACAAGCUAGCAAAAGAGCAUGCUUUCUUAUGUGUGCUUUUAAGACAGAAGAAGUGCCAUCAGGCUGCAUGUGUUACAGCAGGCCUCCCAUCUUCAUCCAGUGUGGUAGCUUUGCUAUUGCCCCAGGGGCACGCACGUGUUCUACCAUCAGAGCCCCAUUGGCACCAGUCACUGUUAGGCCAGCCAAGGAGGAGGGCUGUCUCAGACUGAGAUACCAGCAGCAAUUAAACCCUUCACAUUCCUGUGAUACAUGCUGUAUUUACUUUUGGCCAGAUCAUUAGCCAAAGACAUGAGGGGAUAAUAACUUCUUUAUCUCUUUAUGAGGAGAACAAGUAAGGAACAGUGUUAGGGGCAUAUAGGGUAAAGAACCUUAUAUUUUGAAUAGACCUUUAUUUUUCAUGAGGAGAUUCAGAGCUAUCUGCAAACAGGAAGAAACGUAUAUGUCUGCAUCAACAUUUAUAAGUGUGCUAGUUAACUCAGUUUUGUUGGCAACCAUCCCAAGAGUUAUGACAGCAACAAACCAUAGAGAUACAUCAUCCUGAAUUCAGAAAGGCCAACUCCUUCAGCUAUUUGUAACAAAGUAUGUGCCUAGUUGUCAGAGCAUCAGUAAGUCCUGUAGCAACUCAUGGCCGAACAUGAAUAUACACUUCAGUACUUGCACUUGGCUGGAACCUUCUAACCCAGUUGUGUAAGUGUCCUGGACAUCCCCUAAGCAAAAAGAUGUUGUAGGGAAUUACCUGCUUAGUCUCCCAGUAACAAAAAACCCAAUCAUUUCCCAUUCUCUUAACCCUCCUGUUCAAAGAAACAUCUCAAGCAGUUGUACAACAUUCAUUUAGACUGGAACA